rnacentral:rRNA from 1 species
CACGUAGGGCGCAAGCGUUGUCCGGAAUUAUUGGGCGUAAAGAGCUCGUAGGCGGUCUGUUGCGUCCGCUGUGAAAACCCGGGGCUUAACCCCUGGCUUGCAGUGGAUACGGACAGACUAGAGGUAGGUAGGGGAGAAUGGAAUUCCCGGUGUAGCGGUGAAAUGCGCAGAUAUCGGGAGGAACACCGGUGGCGAAGGCGGUUCUAUGGGCCUUACCUGACGCUGAGGAGCGAAAGCGUGGGGAGCGAACAGG